GACGAACGCUGGCGGCGUGCUUAACACAUGCAAGUCGGACGGAAAGGCCCUGCUUUUGUGGGGUGCUCGAGUGGCGAACGGGUGAGUAACACGUGAGUAACCUGCCCUUGACUUUGGGAUAACUUCAGGAAACUGGGGCUAAUACCGGAUAGGAGCUCCUGCUGCAUGGUGGGGGUUGGAAAGUUUCGGCGGUUGGGGAUGGACUCGCGGCUUAUCAGCUUGUUGGUGGGGUAGUGGCUUACCAAGGCUUUGACGGGUAGCCGGCCUGAGAGGGUGACCGGCCACAUUGGGACUGAGAUACGGACCAGACUCCUACGGGAGGCAGCAGUGGGGAAUAUUGCACAAUGGGCGGAAGCCUGAUGCAGCAACGCCGCGUGCGGGAUGACGGCCUUCGGGUUGUAAACCGCUUUCGCCUGUGACGAAGCGUGAGUGACGGUAAUGGGUAAAGAAGCACCGGCUAACUACGUG
rnacentral:rRNA from 1 species